GGACUACAAGGGUUUCUAAUCCUGUUUGCUCCCCACGCUUUCGCGCCUCAGCGUCAAUGUCGGUCCAGAUGGCCGCCUUCGCCACGGAUAUUCUUCCCAAUCUCUACGAAUUUCACCUCUACACUGGGAAUUCCACCAUCCUCUACCGAAUUCAAGCAAGAUAGUCUUGAAUGCAAUUCCAGGGUUAAGCCCUGGGCUUUCACAUCCAACUUAUCAAGCCGCCUACGCGCCCUUUACGCCCAGUAAUUCCGAACAACGCUAGCCCCCUUCGUAUUACCGCGGCGGCUGGCAC
rnacentral:rRNA from 1 species